UCUUCUACUUUUCUAUGAUAUGUGGUGAAUUUGCACAAGCAUUUCAUCACAGAAAGAGAUUAAUAAUUUGAUUGCCACGAGGGAGACAAUGCCUAGAAAACCGCAAGACACUUGAAAGCCCUGUUAUGAAAACUGACUCAACAUGCACCAAAUGGACCACACACCAUGAGCUAUAGGCCAUACUUCCGGUUAACACGCUGCCAAAUCUAGCCACACUCCACCUCUCAUCUUUAAAAAGCUUCACCAUUUAAGACAUUCACUUCACUCACAAACAUUUUGUACCACCAAGCUUUCUUUGUAUAACAAGUACGUAGUAAUUGAUGUCUUGCAUGUAUUUAUGGACAUGUCUGUUUACUAUUGUUUGCAUGGUAUUUUGCUACUAAGCUUUGUACUAUGUACUUAUAUUUAUGGACAUGUCUAUCACUUAUUUAUCUUGAAUAUCAUUUUUUUCACGUUGCAGACAGGUUCACACUUCACAACAAAUAAAUAUACGACAACAAUUAAUAAAAACUAUACAAUCUGAAAUAACUUAUAAUAAACGACAACAAUAAUCAAUCUUUAUCUUAUUAGGUGAGGAUGCUACAUGAAUCAAAUUACGUUAUAGUGUUUUAUAAAAAAUCGUAUUGAUAUUGUUUGUUGCACGCAGUUCGAGUUGAACCUAAUCAUGCACAGACAAAGCAAUCUAUGUGAAGUUCUCAAUGAUUUUGUACAUGCAACUAUUCAAGUUUUGUUUAAGUGGAUAGAUAUCACACAGUGUAAGAAUUUACUUACUACUAUGCAUUCACUAAGUGAUGUGCGACAAGCCACGUUUCAAGCUCUUUGCAACUCAAGUUUACCCAAGUUAAGUUGCUGUGCAAUGUGCAUUUAUUCAAGCCCACGAGCAAAUAUGACAGUGUACUACAACGUAGCUAUAGCUAGCAUGAUCUCUAGCUAGCUAGUAGGAGCAAAGACCUCCAUGUUUCUUUGAUUCAAAGAAUGAUUAUUUGCUCAAUCUAUAUCUAUCUAUAUGCAAUGGAU
rnacentral:lncRNA from 1 species